AACGAACGCUGGCGGCAGGCUUAACACAUGCAAGUCGAACGGGCACCUUCGGGUGUCAGUGGCAGACGGGUGAGUAACGCGUGGGAACGUACCCUUCGGUUCGGAAUAACCCAGGGAAACUUGGGCUAAUACCGGAUACGUCCGUAAGGAGAAAGAUUUAUUGCCGAAGGAUCGGCCCGCGUCGGAUUAGCUAGUUGGUGGGGUAAUGGCCCACCAAGGCGACGAUCCGUAGCUGGUCUGAGAGGAUGAUCAGCCACACUGGGACUGAGACACGGCCCAGACUCCUACGGGAGGCAGCAGUGGGGAAUAUUGGACAAUGGGCGAAAGCCUGAUCCAGCCAUGCCGCGUGAGUGGAGAAGGCCUUAGGGUUGUAAAGCUCUUUCAGCGGGGAAGACAAUGACGGUACCCGCAGAAGAAGU
rnacentral:rRNA from 1 species